AAUGUGGUUGAUGAUGUCCAACUUUUUUCCCCAUCUUAUCGACCAUGGGGACUCCAAACCAAUUUAAAGCCAAUUGUGUCUGAAACCACGUU
ensembl:snoRNA